rnacentral:rRNA from 1 species
GGGUUGUGAGGUUAAGCGACUAAGCGUACACGGUGGAUGCCCUGGCAGUCAGAGGCGAUGAAGGGCGUGCUAAUCUGCGAUAAGCGCCGGUAAGGUGAUAUGAACCGUUAUAACCGGCGAUACCCGAAUGGGGAAACCCAGUGUGACUCGUCACACUAUCAUUAACUGAAUCCAUAGGUUAAUGAGGCGAACCGGGGGAACUGAAACAUCUAAGUACCCCGAGGAAAAGAAAUCAACCGAGAUUCCCCCAGUAGCGGCGAGCGAACGGGGAGGAGCCCAGAGCCUGAAUCAGCAUGUGUGUUAGUGGAAGCGUCUGGAAAGGCGCGCGAUACAGGGUGACAGCCCCGUACACAAAAGCGCAUGUGCUGUGAGCUCGAUGAGUAGGGCGGGACACGUGGUAUCCUGUCUGAAUAUGGGGGGACCAUCCUCCAAGGCUAAAUACUCCUGACUGACCGAUAGUGAACCAGUACCGUGAGGGAAAGGCGAAAAGAACCCCGGCGAGGGGAGUGAAAAAGAACCUGAAACCGUGUACGUACAAGCAGUGGGAGCACCCUUUGGGGUGUGACUGCGUACCUUUUGUAUAAUGGGUCAGCGACUUAUAUUCUGUAGCAAGGUUAACCGUAUAGGGGAGCCGGAGGGAAACCGAGUCUUAACCGGGCGUUAAGUUGCAGGGUAUAGACCCGAAACCCGGUGAUCUAGCCAUGGGCAGGUUGAAGGUUGG